rnacentral:misc_RNA from 1 species
CAAGAGGCGAGCAAUGGCAAUUAGAGAAGGAUUGGCACAUAAGCCUAUGGGUUUAGUUAACAUGUCUGCAAUGUGGCUAGUGCCACAGCAUUGCGUUACUGGACUAGCUGAGGCUUUUAAUGCAAUUGGUCAAAUAGAAUUCUAUUACUCUCAGUUUCCCAAGACUAUGUCCAGCAUUGGAGUGGCUCUUUUCUCACUUGGCAUGGCAUUUGGGAACUUGCUAGGGAGUUUUAUAGUGUCAAUUUUGAAACGUGAAACUGGAAAAG